rnacentral:rRNA from 1 species
UGGGCAACCUGCCCCAGACUCUGGGAUAACCUCGGGAAAACCGGGGCUAAUACCGGAUACUCUCAUCGAACCACAUGGCUCGAUGAGGAAAGCUCCGGCGGUCUGGGAUGGGCCCGCGGCCUAUCAGCUUGUUGGCGGGGUAACGGCCCACCAAGCGACGACGGGUAGUUGGCGUGAGAGCGUGGCCAACCACACUGGGACUGAGACACGGCCCAGACUCCGUACGGGA